rnacentral:rRNA from 1 species
UGAGGAAUAUUGGUCAAUGGGCGGAAGCCUGAACCAGCCAUGUCGCGUGUAGGAAGGAGGUCCUAUGGAUUGUAAACUACUUUUGUAUAGGGGUAAUGACCUUGUCGAGAACGAGGGAGAGAAAGUACUAUACGAAUAAGUAUCGGCUAACUCCGUGCCAGCAGCCGCGGUAAUACGGAGGAUACGAGCGUUAUCCGGAUUUAUUGGGUUUAAAGGGUGCGUAGGCGGUUUAUUAGGUUUAAGGUGAAAUAUAGGUGCUUAACAUUUAUAAGCCUUAGAAACCGGUAGACUAGAAUAUAAGUGGGGCAGGCGGAAUAAAUCAUGUAGAGGUGACAUUCAUAGAUAUGAUUUAGAACACCGGUCGCGAAGGCAGCUUGUCAAGAUAAUAUUGACGCUGAGG